GUGCAGCAGUCGCGAAAACUUCGCAAUGCGCGAAAGCGCGACGAGGGGAUUCCAAGUGCAUGCACUAAGUGUAUGCUUUUCGUGAGUUUAAAACGCUCACGGAAUAAGGGCUGGGUAAGACUGGUGCCAGCCGCCGCGGUAAUACCAGCGGCCCUAGUGGUGAUCGUUAUUAUUGGGCCUAAAGCGUCCGUAGCCGGUCCGGUAAAUCUCUGGGUAAAUCGUUGGGCUUAACUCAGCGAAUUCUGGGGAGACUGCUGGACUUGGGGACCGGGAGAGGUCGGAGGUACUCCGAGGGGUAGGGGUGAAAAUCCUGUAAUCCGUUGGGGGACCACCGGUGGCGAAGGCGUCCGACCAGAACGGGUCCGACGGUAAGGGACGAAGCCCUGGGGCGCGAACCGGAUUAGAUACCCCU
rnacentral:rRNA from 1 species